GUGUGAUCCCUUCCAUUAGUGAGCACUGAUGAGAAUUGUGCUUUCUCUUUUCCCUCUGGGCGUGCACCCACUACCUUGCUGACAUAAAUGCCAGAAAGUCGGAAUAGCUUUGGAGAUAAUAAGAUCCUUGUUGGAUUGUUUCAAGGAGGCAGACAUGACCAGCACUAAGAUAGGAGGUUGGGUCUCCCAGCACCUGUGGAGCUGCAGCAUCUUCCAGCAGAGGCAGGCCUUGACCCUGCUGCAGGGAGCUGCCCUUCACAGCCAUGCCUGCUGCUUCUGUCUCCCUCUCUGCUCAGGAAAUGACAUGUUGGAUUUCAUUUGGCAUGGUCCACUGAAAACUGUAUCUGAUGGGUGGCAGAUCUCACGUUCACAAAUGGCCUCUAGGUUUUAG
rnacentral:lncRNA from 1 species